AAUAGAUACCCAGGUAGUCCACGCCGUAAACGAUGAGUGCUAAGUGUUAGAGGGUUUCCGCCCUUUAGUGCUGCAGCUAACGCAUUAAGCACUCCGCCUGGGGAGUACGGCCGCAAGGCUGAAACUCAAAGGGAUUGACGGGGGCCCGCACAAGCGGUGGAGCAUGUGGUUUAAUUCGAAGCAACGCGAAGAACCUUACCAGGUCUUGACAUCCUCUGACAACCCUAGAGAUAGGGCUUUCCCCUUCGGGGGACAGAGUGACAGGUGGUGCAUGGUUGUCGUCAGCUCGUGUCGUGAGAUGUUGGGUUAAGUCCCGCAACGAGCGCAACCCUUGAUCUUAGUUGCCAGCAUUCAGUUGGGCACUCUAAGGUGACUGCCGGUGACAAACCGGAGGAAGGUGGGGAUGACGUCAAAUCAUCAUGCCCCUUAUGACCUGGGCUACACACGUGCUACAAUGGAUGGUACAAAGGGCUGCAAACCUGCGAAGGUAAGCGAAUCCCAUAAAGCCAUUCUCAGUUCGGAUUGC
rnacentral:rRNA from 1 species